UCCCGACCCAGGGAUCAAAUCUGGGUCUCCUGCACUGGCGGGUGGAUUCUUUUACUACUGAGCCACCUGGGAAGCUCCCCGGCACUGGGCAGGGUGACUCCUUAAUGCGACCAUUUCUGCUUCUCAACUUGUCCCCAUUGUCAGUAGGAAAGAAACUUCUAAAGAAGAAUGGAAAUCCCACCCCGUACUACACAGGAAAGAGCACUGGUUUUGGAGCCACGUGACCCUGGAUGGACCCUCCACUCCGCCGCUUACAGCUGCACGACCUUGGAUACUGCCCCUGUGCAGGACACGUUCCCCAGCGUUUGGAUGGUGAGGCCCCGUCUGUAAUCUACGCUAACUGUUCGUUCCCACUCAGCCCUUUGAUGUCCAAGCUGUCCACUACCCUUCGCCCUUUCCUUCUGCAUCCUCUUGGGAGGGAACCUCA